GGACAUAUCUCAGUGGUAGAGCAUCUGCUUUGCAGGCAGAAGAUCCCAGGUUCAGUCCCUGGUAUCUCCA
rnacentral:tRNA from 1 species